AUACGGAGGGGGCUAGCGUUGUUCGGAAUUACUGGGCGUAAAGCGUCCGCAGGCGGAUAAUUAAGUUAGAGGUGAAAUCCCAGGGCUCAACCCUGGAACUGCCUUUAAAACUGGUUAUCUAGAGUUAUGGAGAGGUAAGUGGAAUUCCUAGUGUAGAGGUGAAAUGCGUAGAUAUCAGGAGGAACACCAGUGGCGAAAGCGGCUCACUGGACCAUUGCUGACGCUGAGGUGCGAAAGCUAGGGUAGCGAACGGGAUUAGAUACCCCAGUAGUCC
rnacentral:rRNA from 1 species